GCCCUCUCAGGGUCACGCCUGGAGAGUUUCCAGUCCUCUACCAGUCUCGACUACGGGAGGGAGAGUCACGCAGAGGCCUUCCCAUCCCGUUCCUAGCUUGGCCAGUGGCUAGCGAAUGGAAGGCAAUCUGCUACAACU